rnacentral:rRNA from 1 species
CGAACGUGGAUAAUCUGCCCUCGCACAGGGGGACAACAGCUAGAAAUGGCUGCUAAUACCGCAUAAGCCUACAGCCUCGCAUGAGGGAGCAGGAAAAGAAAUUCGGUGCAGGAUGAGUCCGCGUCUGAUUAGCUAGUUGGAGGGGUAAAAGCCCACCAAGGCAACGAUCAGUAGCCGGCCUGAGAGGGCGACCGGCCACAUUGGGACUGAGACACGGCCCAAACUCCUACGGAAGGCAGCAG